GACGAACGCUGGCGGCGUGCCUAAUACAUGCAAGUAGGACGCAGUUGCGAACGGGUGAGUAACGCGUAGGUCACUGCCUAUUAGAGGGUGCUAACUAUUGGAAACGAUAGCUAAUCCCGCAUCCUAGUAGAUGUACCUGCGUGGUAUCAUCUAGUAGGUAGUGUAAUGGCCUACCUAGGCAACGAUACAUAGCCGACCUGGGAGGGUGAGCGGCCACACUGGGACUGAGAAACGGCGCAGAAGCGUACGGGAGGCAGCAGUAGGGAAUAUUAGGAAAUGGGGGGAACCCUGAACAAGCAAGGCGGCGUGAGUGAAGAAGGUUUUCGGAUCGUAAAGCUCUGUUGUUAAGGAAGAGGGACGUAACCAGAAAGGGACGGCUAACUACGUGCCAGCAGCAGCGGUAAUAC
rnacentral:rRNA from 1 species